AGGUCGGUGGCCAUACGAUGCUACCCAUUCGCUGGAUGCCUCCAGAGAGCAUCAUGUACAGGAAAUUCACCACAGAGAGCGACGUCUGGAGCCUGGGAGUCGUAUUGUGGGAGAUCUUCACCUACGGCAAACAGCCCUGGUACCAGCUGUCAAAUAACGAGGUGAUAGAAUGCAUCACUCAGGGCCGAGUCCUGCAGCGACCCCGCACGUGCCCCCAGGAGGUGUAUGAGCUGAUGCUGGGGUGCUGGCAGCGAGAGCCCCACAUGAGAAAGAGCAUCAAGGGCAUCCACACCCUCCUUCAGAACUUGGCCAAGGCAUCUCCAGUCUACCUGGAUAUUCUAGGCUAAGGCCCUCACCCCCAGGCGGAUCCUUCCCAACGUACUCCUCAGACAGACAGGGCCGAGAGGAUGAAUAUCUUUUAACUGCCGCUGGAGGCCACCAAGUUGCUCUCCUUCACUCUGACAGUAUUAACAACAAAGACACCAAGACACACCGAGAAGCUCUCAGAGGGAAGCAGUGUGUACUUCUCCAUCCGUAGACACAGUGUUGACUUCUUUUUGGCAUCAUCUCUUUCUCUCUUUCCAUCUCCCUUGGUUUGUUUUAUAAUUUCUUUUCUUUUCUUUUUUUCUUUUCUGUUCUUCCCUGCUUCAAGUUCUUACCCUUCCUUUUUAAUCAAUCUGGCUUCUGCAUUACUAUUAACUCUGCAUAGACAAAGGCCUUAACAAACCUAAUUUGUUAUAUCAGCAGACACUCGAGUUUGCCCACCACAACUAACAAUGCCUUGUUGUAUUCCUGCCUUUGAUGUGGAUGAAAAAAAGGGAAAACAAAUAUUUGACUUAAACUUUGUCACUUCUGCUGUACAGACAUCGAGAGUUUCUAUGGAUUCACUUCUAUUUAUUUAUUAUUAUUACUGUUCUUAUUGUUUUUGAAUGGCUUAAGCCUGUGUAUAACAAGGAAAACUUGUGUUCAAUCUGGGAAACCUUUAUCUAUGGGAGAUUAAAACCAGAGAGAAAGAAGAUUUAUUAUAAACUGCAGUAUGGGAGGAAAAAAGACACCCAUUGGGAUCAGCUGGCGUCAGUUCCUGCUUAGGAGAAACCCAGCAUUGUUAGCUGGGAGGAAUGUAUUCGGCACCUUCCCCUGAGGACCUUUCUGAGGAGUAAAAAGACUGUUGAACUCUGCGCCAUGGACUAUUCUUUUCCCAUCACCAGGAAUACUAACAUGCAGUAGAAAGAAAAGUUGGCUUCCAUGAGACACAAGAUGGCUCCUCACAUACUCAGACACAGUCUUGUCUUUGUAGGCCGUGGUAAUAGCACUGGUUUGUUUUGCAAGUGUUAUCCACUGAACCUUUGUCAAGUUCAGUUGGAAAUCGAUGAAUUCAUGUCCAGAGAUCAUUUCAGGGUCAGGUGGGACGGCAAAGGACUUGGAAAAGAUAGGACAAGCUAUAAAUUCGGAGGCAAGUUUCUCUUAUGUUGAACUUUUCAGAUAGCAUUUUCCUCCAACUCUAACUUCGCUCCCACCCGUCCUUUUAACUGUGCAAGCAAAAUUGUGCAUGGUCUUCGUCGAUUAAUACCUUGUGUGCAGACACUACCGCUCCAGAUGUCGCGCCCCUGAUAGGUAGAACAGAUCCAUAAAAGGUAUGACUUAUACAAUUAAGGGAAGCUAAUGGAGCUUAUUAGCUGAGUAUCAAUGUCUCUGCAUUGUAUGGUGGUGAUGGGUUUUAAUGACUGUGGACCCUGAAGCCUGGAUAUCUUCAUCCACGUCGAACUCAUGGGACUGUGGGAAGGAGAGAAUCGAGUCCUCGGGGAAAAGAAACCUCUCCCUGAGGACAUCACAUGCGUUAAUGUUCAGUGUACACAGGCCAAGUCCUUUGCUCUGGGCUCUGGUUGGGAGAAUGGUUUCAUUCCAAGUGUACUCCACUGUCAGUAUGCUGUUUUGUUUUUGGUUUUUGGUUUUGGUUUUGUUUUUUUCACUCCAUUAAGAAAAAGUCAAAAUAAAAAAUUUGGCACAGCAUGCCAAUGCGAGGCUGUGCCCAGACCAAGCAUUGGAGAUGUGCUUUGGGGCAUAGUCACUGGUUUUGCAAAAAGAGGGUGUAAAUUUAAGUAGAAAUUUACAGUUAUUUGGAUGGUCAGAUUUACCAAGGAAGAAAAAUAUUUCUGUUCCUCAAGAAAACUUGCUACCCUCUGUGAGGGGAAUUUUUGCUAAACUUGACAUCUUUAUAACAUGAGCCAGAUUGAAAGGGAGUGAUUUUAAUUCCUCUUAGGUCAAGUUAUUUAUUUAUUUUUUUUAUUUUUCUGAAGGUGCAAUAGCUCUGUUUUAGGUUUUGCUUGCACCUGCUAAUUACUGGAACAUCUUGUUUUCCAUUAAAGGUUUUGAAAGCCAGUUCUCAAAAAUUCAAAAGUGUAAAUUAACAGAGAACAAAAGGAAAUCCAGUAGCAUCUGCAGUGAAGCAGGGGGUUGGACAAGAUGAACCUUACAGAUCCUUCAAAUUCAGCACUGGCCGAUGAGAGAUGUGAGUCAAGUUGUCUGUUCUCUUUGGUGGCGGAAAAAAAAAAAAACCCUCCAGAAUACAAAUAAUAAUAUAAUGAAAGCCAUAUCUCCAUGAUAUAUACACACACGUAUAUAUCAUAUUAAGGAACCAUGGUACUGUUAAAACACUGUGGAACUAUGGAAAACAGUAAGGAAGGGGCAGAUUUGUACAAAAACUUUUCUAGAUGCCAUGUGUGGCCAGCUGCUCUGGGGGACGAAGCUGCAAGUUAUUUAUUUUAUUUUAAGAGAGCAAAAGAGGGAAUACUUCUAGGGGCCAAAUUCAAGGAGGGCUGUGCAGUCUUAGAGCGAAGAUUUGUUUGAGGCAGAUGAGAAGAUGGGAGCAUUUCAUUACAGUUUUUAUGUUUUCCUCUGAAAGCAAAAAGCAAAAAACAAAAAAACAAAAUCUCCUUACACCUUUUGACAAGUCCCUCAAGGUCUUGAAAUGAAAGGUUCUAUGCAAGUGCAAAGUUUUAUAGUUAUUUAUAUUGCUGAUUAUUAUUAUUAUUACUCUUACUAUCUCUGUUGUCUCAAGAGUGUGUGCUAAUUUUCAGAGACGUCUCUCACUGAAAGAAUAUCGGAUUGCUUUUAAAGUAACCGAAUGAGCUACAAUAUAUCUUAAAACAUUCGUCGCUUUUUCCUUCACCACCCCCCUUUCUCAUGAUCUAAUUUUUAGAAAAGUAACAUCCUUGUUCUAAAAUAUAAUGGUCACCAAAUGCGGCCUGCCAUCAAACCUGUUAAAUACCACAACAGUAGCAGUGGCAAAUUCAAUUCUCUAGCUCAAAUACAGUCGGACAAUCAUUUCCAUCUAUAAAUUGUUUAAUAGUUUUCCAAACACUUUUCACAUGUGGUAGCAAAUUAUUCCUAUUUUUUAUAGGUGAGAAAACUGAGACUCAGAGAAGCUCCAAGUCACACUGGAAGUCUCCAAUCUAGCUUUCGGUACCACUGGGACUGAAUCCAAGUACUCUCACUCUGAACUUCAUGAUUCUGUGCACUAGAGACUCUAAUAUACAAACAAGCAGUUCAGGAAAGAAAGUAUGCUAACAAAUUCAUGAAGCAGGAUGCGAUGUUAGAAGAAGAAAUGGAAAUAGAUGAGAUGACAAGCAGCUGAGAUAUCGUGAUAUAUAAUCAUGCUCUUAGCUUCAGCUAAAUCCUUGUACACUGAACCAAUGUCAUAAUCAGGCUUCUUUAGAAAACACUUUGAACUAUGCUAUAAAAGAUUAUAUCUGAAUUCAUAUUAUACAUGUGUUCACAUCAGCGCUACCUGUGAUGUUUUCAUGUAUUUAUAUGUGUGUUAUAAAUACUUGAUUUAUACAUCUACAAAUGCACAGGCAUAGUGUGUUUGUGUGUUUAUGUAUAAAUUUAUAGGCAUACAAUAAUAGAGAUAAUUAAUUAUACGUAGGGUGCAGAAUGAAUAAUUUGCUUAAAAUCCGCUAAAUAACCAAAACUUUUUAAUGUCAUGUUGCUGUUAGUGCUUCCGUUCUCCAUGUGGGUAGGACUACAUCACACAUUAAACUCUAUGUAGUACUGCAUAGGUGGAAGACAUAUUGAAGAGAAUGUGCUUCCCUAAACAACCGAAUAAAAGCCAUCCCACUUUGUUGAGUCCUUUCUCUGGCUCCUUACAAAGGAAAAUGCAGACUGAAGUAGAUUACCUUAUGUCAAGGUCCAGGAAAGGGAAAUUGAUUUCUUUUGCCUUUCUGUACGUUUGUAUUAUGCUCACCUUGUCCUUGUCCCACUGUGAUCCCUUUACACUUAUGUUCGGAGUUCAAGCAUUCCAGAUGUAAACUGGAAUGUUGGGAGCCCAGUGUCUUGAAGACCAGUGGUGAGAAGUCCAAGACCUCACAGCGGGAUGAGUCACUCUUAGAAAUUUCCACAUCUGAGUAUGAAUGUACCAACCAACAAUUUAGAAUGCUGUCCGUUGCAGAGUAUCACGACAAGAGGAUUUCCUGGUCAAGGCUAGACUUUUAAUUUGUUUUGCCUUUCUUUUUGCAAAUUAGAUAGCCUAUAAUACCAAUAAUAUUAAAUUGUACCUAAUUAAAUGACUGUGUAUAUACACAUACCCUCGAUUCUCUUGCUCCCCCCCCUUUUUUUUAAUUUUUGUUUUUCUCCCAUUUGAAGACUUUUGUUUUCAGUGUUGACCUUUGGUUUGACCAUAUGUCAUCGUUACAGGAAAUCUCUGAGAGGAAUGAUUAGUGACCCCACUCCCCAAAUGUCUAAGUUAGCAGUUAAAGCCAAUUUCGCACGCAAAAUUGGAGUAUGGCGAUUCUGAGGUUGUGAUAGCUUGUACACGAAUUUCCAACAUUAAUCAAAAGAAUGAGGGGUGGGAGGGAUUUAGAGUUAAAAUGAUGGUGCAGGAAGGGGUAUUUUCUUGUUGUCAGGGUGGGAAUGAAUCACUGCUGCUCAAGUCAAAGGUUCUUGAAUAUCCUUAUUUUUGUACUUUUCCUCCUUCUUUUCCUUUGACCUUUAUUUAUUGAAUUAUGUAUUUAUUUAUUUAUUCAUAUAUUUUUGCUCCAUUCAUCACAAACACAAAGCAAAGCAAAAAAUAUAUAUAUGUAUAUGUGUUGCAAGCAAAACACUGUGAAUUUCAUAAUCACCACCAAGCAACUAUUUUGCCAUCUUAACAUACGUCUCAGGAGACGAAAUGGGAAAAGAUGGGGAUGUCAUUUUUCAGUCUAUGCGUUCAAGGCCAGGUCCAUGUUUAUUUUCUUUCUUUGGUCUAUGCAUUAAUGAAAAUGGUCCUGAGUGGAGGUUGGCUGAACGUUCAAUGUACUGGAGCAAGCCUCACAAAAGCUGCUAACAACCACGUGUUUGAGCAAGAAAAAAAAGUUGGAGAAAAUGUAAUCUAAAGGCCUACAUCUUGCAGCCUGUGUAUCUUACUACUGCUUAAAAAUGUAUAAAAUAGCUGGAAAUGUUUUCAAUACAAGGUUUUCAAAUUAAAUGUGGAUUUUAAAUAUGUAAUCCCUUGACAAAUGACCAAAUUAUGGUGAACUAUUGCUCCCUGCGUUCUUUGAUCAUUACCUAUGACUUACAAAUCUGCCUGGAGAUGUGGACACUCUGCAUUUGCUUCUGUAUCUGGAGAGAUGUUUGUAUAUAUCCGGGCCGUAUACACACAUAUUUCAAUAUCUCUCUGCGGAUCUAUUUCCCCUUCAAUUGUGACCUGGUAUUUGGAACUCUCUAUCUUUUCAUUUGGUUUAUUUUCCUUUUAAUGUGACGUCUCUGUGCCAAUACUUACCGGUUCUUGUUUUGCAAUCUGUUUUGAGUUCAUUGCUUUACUAAGACCCACUGCAUCUUGGCUGACUUCAAAGUGACACCUGAAUACAGUGUUAAAAAAAAAAAAGUUUUGUUUGUAAAUCAUGUGACCAGCUUCUCUCAACCUGACAUGGAAAGUCUCUUGUACUACAGUGUAUUUAAUAAAAAUGAUGUCUUACAAUAAAUAACAUCCUCCAAAAGAGAGACUAAAA